rnacentral:rRNA from 1 species
UACGGAGGGGGCUAGCGUUGUUCGGAAUUACUGGGCGUAAAGGGCGCGCAGGCGGCUGCUCAAGUCAGGCGUGAAAGGCCCGGGCACAACCCGGGAAUUGCGCUUGAGACUGAGCUGGCUUGAGUGCGGGAGAGGAUGGUGGAAUUCCCAGUGUAGAGGUGAAAUUCGUAGAUAUUGGGAAGAACACCGGUGGCGAAGGCGGCCAUCUGGACCGUAACUGACGCUGAGGCGCGAAAGCGCGGGGACGAAUCAGG